rnacentral:rRNA from 1 species
GCCAGCAGCCGCGGUAAUUCCAGCUCCAAUAGCGUAUAUUAAAGUUGUUGCGGUAAAAAAGCUCGUAGUUGGAUUUCUGUUGAGGGCAACCGGUCCGUACCAUGUACGUGUAUCUGGGCUGACCUCGGCAUCCUAUCCGAAAUGAUUGCUGUGCUUGAUUGCGUGGCGUCGGUUCGGGUACUUUUACUUUGAGGAAAUUAGAGUGUUCACGGCAGGCUAUCGCCAGAAUACAUUAGCAUGGAAUAAUACUAUAGGAUUUCGAUUCUAUUUUGUUGGUUUCUAGAAUUGAAAUAAUGAUUAAUAGGGACAAUUGGGGGCAUUCGUAUCAACACGUCAGAGGUGGAAUUCUUGGAUUGUGUUGCGACGAACUACUGCGAAAGCAUCUGCCAAGUAUGUUUUCAUUGAUCAAGAACGAAAGUAAGGGGAUCGAAGACGAUUAGAUACCGUCGUAGUCUUUACCAUAAACUAUGCCAACUAGAGAUCCGAGAUCGUUCAUUUACGACUUCUUGGGCACCUUAUGAGAUAUCAAAGUCUUUGGGUUCCGGGGGGAGUAUGGUCGCAAGGCUGAAACUUAAAGGAAUUGACGGAAGGGCACCACCAGGAGUGGAGCCUGCGGCUUAAUUUGACUCAACACGGGGAAACUCACCAGGUCCAGACAUAAUAAGGAUUGACAGAUUGAUAGCUCUUUCUUGAUUUUAUGGGUGGUGGUGCAUGGCCGUUCUUAGUUCGUGGAGUGAUUUGUCUGCUUAAUUGCGUUAACGAACGAGACCUUAACCUGCUAAAUAGGAUCACCUAUUUUCGAAUAAGUGACUUUCUUCUUAGAGGGACUGUAUGCGUUUCAGCAUGCGGAAGUUUGAGGCUAAAACAGGUCUGUGAUGCCCAAGGGC